AACCAUUUUCCAGUGAUGGGAUAGAGACUAUGAGAUAGUGCCACUGACGAUCCAAGUUUGAGUUGGCUGACUUACUUAAGAGCGAGAGCAAGUAUCGCACAAUCGUUUCAUAAGUCCUAAAACGGGUGCAGGCGGCAAUGGGACAACUCGAAACCGUCGGCUUAGAGCAGAGAGAGUGCCGAGAAGGUGAUUUAAGGGAGGGGACACUCAGGUUCGAGUGAAGAAUUGUCGGAGAACUCAAGGAAAAAACCCCAUAGUCGUCAGCAACUGUUCAAGCUCGAAUUCGUAACCUUUCCUUAGGUGUUCAAGUGUGUUGGUUGGGAGGUUUUUCGCCAAGGGAGGUCGAGGAACGAAGGGUUGCAAGCAUCAUCGGAGAUGAGGCAUGAAGGAGCGGUCGAGACGGAGGCACACACGAGCUAGGGGCUAUGAAGUUUUGGGCUAGAUCGGUAUCUUGUAUCCCUUUAAUAUGUUUCUCUUACGAACCCUUGAUCUUUGUAUUUCAAGAUUUUUACUAAUUUCCUAUGCCAAGUUUUUUUUUUCUGUGUGUCGUUGUGGUUUGUUAGUCUGUAAGGUAUUUUUGAACGAUGUUGUAUUAAAGCUAGAUUUUUUUUUAUGUGCAUGCACGUUUAGAAGUUUUAAAUUAAA